rnacentral:lncRNA from 1 species
AAUAAUAAUAAUAAUAAAAAUAUUACUAACCUCAGUGGUUCCUAGUAGGAGUUGACGACGGUUCUCAACCGAGGGUGAUUUUUUUUUCCCCAGAGGAUAUUUGACAAUGUCUGGAGAAAGUUUUGGUUACAACCAGGUGUGGUGUUGCCCCUGGCAUCUGUGAAUGGAGGCCAGGGAUGUUGCUAACCAUCAGACAACACACAGGACAGCCCCCGAAGCAAAGAAUGAGCCAGCCCAAAAUGUCAGUAGCGCCAAGGUUGGGAAACUCUGGGUUAAACUUAUUAAUGCACCAUGUGCUCUCAGGAGGGUAGAGGCCAAGAAGCAUUUUCUGUUGACUUAGCACAAACAAAGUUGCCCACAACAUAAAGGGCUUUCCCAGUCCAGGAAAAUGGAGUAAAGUGCUGGGUGUGAAGAAGGUCAGAGCCAGAGUGAGACCCAUUGUUCUGCAUGAGAGGGGGUGGGGAGAGUGGCAGUGACGCCAGAAAUCUCUGAGUGUGACUCACUGAGAGAAGCCAGCUGGAUGGCAGGGUUGCCAGAGCCUUUGUUCCAAGCUGCAUUUGAGUAGUGAGCUUGAGGUUUUUCCACAGAAGCUUCUCCAUUUCCACCUUUGCAAACUCUGGACUCCAAGGACGCAAGAUGGCCGGAAACAAGAUGGUGGAGAUGGAGUCCCCCUCUGUCACCCAGGCUAGAGUGCAGCCUGAUUCUACAACUUGGCCAUGUGAUCCUGAGCAAAUUACAUUCCCGUUUCAGUUUUCCCUCUUCAACAACAACAAAAAAGCGUUGGAUUAAGUAAUGAUUAAAACUCCUUUCUGCUGGGCGCGGUGGCUCAUGCCUAUAAUCCCAGCACUUU